AGUGAACGCUGGCGGUAGGCCUAACACAUGCAAGUCGACCGGCAGCACAGUAAGAGCUUGCUCUUACGGGUGGCGAGUGGCGGACGGGUGAGGAGUACAUCGGAAUCUACUUUUUCGGGGGGGAUAAAGAAGGGAAACGUACGCUAAUACCGCAUACGACCUACGGGUGAAACCAGGGGAACUUCGGACCUUGCGCGUAUGAUUGAGACGAUGUCGGUUUAGCUAGUUGGCGGGUUAUAAGCCCACCACGGCGACGAUCCGUAACUGGUCUGAGAGGAUGAGUCACCAGCCUGGACCUGAGACUCGGUCCACACUCCUACGCAAGGCGGCAGUGUGGAAUGUUGGACAAUGGGCGCAAGCCUGAUCCAUCCAUACCGCGUGGUUAUAGAAGUCCUUCGUGUUUUAAAGCCCUUUUUUUGUGAAAGAAAAGCAGCAGGUUAAUACCCCGCUGUUCUGACGGUACCCAAAGAAUAAGCACCGGCUAACAUCGUG
rnacentral:rRNA from 1 species